rnacentral:rRNA from 1 species
UCAGACGAUGCGUCAUGCAUAUCAAUAAGCGGAGGAAAAGAAACUAACAAGGAUUCCCCUAGUAACGGCGAGUGAAGCGGGAAGAGCUCAAAUUUGGAAUCUUAAAGGGUUUCCCUUUACGAAUUGUAGUUUAAAGAAGUGUUUUCUGUUGAGGUUUUGGUAAAAGUUCUUUGGAAUAGGACAUCAUAGAGGGUGAGAAUCCCGUAUUUGACCUUUACUUUCAACUUUGUGAUACACUUUCAAGGAGUCGGAUUGUUUGGGAAUGCAGUCCAAAAUGGGUGGUAAAUUUCAUCUAAAGCUAAAUAUUGGCGAGAGACCGAUAGCGAACAAGUACCGUGAGGGAAAGAUGAAAAGAACUUUGAAAAGAGAGUUAAACAGUACGUGAAAUUGUCAAAAGGGAAGCGUUUGACACCAGUGUUGUUUUUCUGAAAAUCAAUUAAAGAACUGUUUAUGCUAAGUUGUUUAGACUUUAUCAGCUAUCUGUUUAGUUUUGAGCUUUUCUUUAAUGCACUUUUCAGUUAACAAGUCAACAUCAAUUUCUUUUGCUGUAAAAAAGCUUGAGGAAGGUGGCUUGAGAUUCGUCUUAAGUGUUUAUAGCCUCUUGCCUAUGCAGUCGGAGAGAUUGAGGUCUGCAGCGUAGAUCCUUCGGGGCUAAAUGCAUUUGUGCUAAGUUAUAGCAUUUUAUAGACAACUUGUUGACUAUGAUUUGUCUUGUAGCUUACUCGCUUAUGUUAUUUUACCUACGCUUAGGAUGUUGAGCGCAUGUCUCUCUCU